GAGGCAUUAAAUUUUGAUGAUGUUGGAGCAUUUGCAGAGGAGCUGUGGUAACUUUUCAUCGUCUUAAGAACUGAGAUUCUAGAACAAGAACUGCUACUACUUAUCUGCAAUGAUGGAGGUGCUCCCUUUCUGUGGAAAGCUAGAUGGAAGUGUCCUGGAAUGGUUGUUGAAGCCAGAUGUUUUGUUUCUUACUGGUUGCUUUGCAAGGGAUAUGGAAUCAGCAAGACUGGUCAUUGGUAGAAGAUUCUUCAUAGUCCAAGAAUCACGAUGGAGGGAAUUUAAAAUUGAUUCCAAUGAAAUUGUUUCAUAGAAAUUUUAAAUUCUUUUUUAUCAGCAAAUACUUUUCCAAUGUCAAGGAUGCUUCACGAUUAUUUGGGGCUGGGGUAAUUUUUUAUCUCUUCAAGAACGGAAGUUCAAGAGCAGGAGUGCUACUACCUACCAGCAAAGCAGGUGGCACACUCACUUUCCAUGGAAAGCUAAAUGAAGAACUGAAGCUUGAAUUGUUACUAAAAAUUGUUGAUGGAAGCUUUAAUUUUCUACGGUUAUGCAAAACCGUGGAGGCAUGGAGUAAAUUUGAAGCAAUUAGCAUACGUAUUUCAACAAUUAUGCACAACUGUUUGAGAAAAACCUAUUCCAUUUUUCCCGUUUGGUAGAUCGAUUUCCUUCGAUUUCGACUGUUUGGAUGGAAAAUUUCUUGAAUUUUGAGGCUUCAAUCUGGAACUCUGGUGAAUGUACAAAAUUCUAGUUCAAGGCUUUAGAAGUUGAUCUUGAAGCUUAAGGAUGAUGGGUGCUUGAGUUCAUCCUUAGUAAAUUGAGAAGCCACGAAGUUUGCAAAUGAUUGGAAAAAAGAAGAGAGACGAUCCUUCAGAGGUCCUGGCCUUUCUGCAAUUUUUAUUUUUUAAAAAGGUCUUAACUUUCCUGAGAUUCUCCUGUGGGAUUUCUUUUUUUAUUGUUUUCCUUUUCCAAUUUACUGGGACUUAAAUAAUGCUAAAUUUGGUUAUGGGCGAGAGCCAGUGGAGGGAUUUUAUUAACUUGGUCUUACUCUCAGCAAUUUAUAGAGUCCCAAUCACAAGGUCUUGUGUUCUCACCUAUUUUGUAUGCUCAGUUUAAACUCAGUUCAUUAAAAUUUUGUAGAAGCCACGAAGUUUGCAAAUGAUUGGAAAUCAAGAUUGAAAAAACAAGAGAGACAAUCCUUCUGAGUCUGCCCUUACAGGGGAGUCACUCCCAGUAACCAAAAAUCUUGGUGAUGGAGUAUACUCUGUUUCAAUGUGUAAACAAGGUGCAAUUGAAGGAGUUGUUAUUGCAACUGGAGUACAUACCUUAUUUGGAAAGGCAGUUCAUCUUGUGGAAACUACUACAAUCAUUGGACAUUUUCAACAGAUAAUUUCAGCAUAUUAUUUUGGAUGAAAUCUUCACUUAGAAUCUCAAAGGCUGGAAGAAUGUUUAGAGCUGUAAUAUUUCUAAACAGUUUCAUAUUUUCUGCUUGGAGGUCGUAACUGCAAUGGGAAAUUUCUGUAUUUGCUCAAUUGCCAUUGGGCUGGUAAUGGAAAUCAUUGUCAUAUAUGGGAUUCAACACAGGGGUAAUCAUGUUGGGAUAGAUAAGCUUCUUGUUUUACUCAUCGGUGGCAUCCCCAUUUCUAUGCCAACAAUUCUUUCUAUUACAAGCUAACUGUGGACAAGUCACAAGAAUAUGAUAGAGUGCCAUCUCUGCUGCCACCACAUACAAGCUCACCACCGGCGUGGCGUAUCUAGAUUUAUAUGGCAAGCUCUGAGAAAUGGCUAAGGUUCAAGUACUUAAAAGACAAAUUGGCUCUGUUGAGGAGAUAAAAGGAGCAACAAAACCAACAUACAUUUGAAGGCAUAAAUACACUAUGAAAAUGGCUCUACUUGACUACAUGCAAAGAUAUGGUGACAAUACUAAAAGUCCUACCAGCCCCUCUUUGAGGCUUCUCCAAGGUUCAAAGUGGUUGCCUACCUCCUCAUCUCCUACAUUUCGAAAGGAUCUUGACCCAGAAGGAACAAGUUUAUCAUUACAAGAAAUCAGUUCCCACCAAAUUGAAGAAGGCCAAGAAUUUGACAUGCUCUCAGCUUGAAGAAACAUAAUCAGGAUUUUAGCGCCACACCUUCUUGGGUUGUCAGGUUGGAUGAUGAUGAAGAUGAAGAAGAUGCUGAAUUCUUUGGAGCCCCAGCAUUUGAAUCAAAGCUGGCUCCUGAGGGUUACAAGGAAACCACUAGACAUAAUCCAAGAGCAAUACAUAAGAAUUUUGGGAAGCAUGUUUUGGAAAGCACUGUCAAUCUUACUAUUAAAAAGAAAGACAGAUGCCUACAAAUCUUAAAAGGACAUUAACUGAAAAUUUGGCAUCAGCUUUUGCCGCGGUAUCAGAAAUUCAGAGUGCUUUCCACAAAUCUAUUCUAUCUCUGUUGCUAUUGAAAGAGGAAAGCAAGAUAAUAAGGCUGAGCAAAUAUGGGUAAUGUUGUUUCAGUGAAGGAGUAUCUAAUGCAUAAGCUUGAGCCCAGGGAAGAUGUGCUUUCUCCAGUGAUAUCCAAGGCAAUGAAUCCAAAAGGAACUCCUGGUGAUAUGGAUGUGGUAUGAGAGACGCUGCGACUUUGCUCCAACAUGAGGAAUUGUCCAAAUACACGGCUAUGGGUUCAGUUAGAAAUACAACAUCGCCCAUGUCAAUUUCCACCCAUGUGCAUUCAGCUGAAGACUCACCAUCACACACUCAGAUCUCAGCCAAUGCUCAUAAAAAAAAAAAAUUUAUGUCAAUUUGGAUCCUGAAUGUAUAUGGAGGCGUGUUAGUGAGCUUCAAUCAGUGUUUGACUUCCAUGUAUCGAUGCUAAAAACCAUCACCAUCUAACAUGCAUGAUCUGAUACUAAUUAUUCUAUUGAAAUUCCUUUCUACAACCUGUGGUAACCAUGGGGCAAAUUUAUGUCGAUAUUUAGUUAUCUGAACAAGGCCUUGACCAUGUUAUGGAUUCCGUGUGCUAUGGUGUAAUUUCUCUUUUUGGUAUUAUAAUUCAUAUCUCAUGGAUAUUUCUCGUC